ensembl:lncRNA
GUGAUAGUUAGCGCUGUGGUAAUGGGAUAAGAAGUGAUGGCCAGUAGGUGUUAAACACUGUGAGGCAGUGAAAUGCCUCAGCCUCUCAUUUUCUGUUGGUACUCCUUGAUGUUUCUCCCUGCUGACCCUGCAGUUUUGGUCCCUGGAGCACAAUGGGCACUUCCAUGAUCUCUCAGCCCCAGCACCAAAGAUUCUCCCAUCCAUUCCUCUCCCUCCACCCAGCCUUGCCACUUUUCUGUUUUACCAAAACCUUUUCUUCCUAUGUGUAGUCCCUACAUAGCAAAAAGUAGAGUUUUUAGCCUCUCUCCUCCAGCCUGUCCUUUCUGUUUUCUCCCAGUGUUCCUGUCCGAUUCUCACUCUGGUUGUCCAUUCCACUCCUUCCCCUCGCUUCUUCUGUUUCUGAGAUCCUUUUCUCUUUGUAGCACAGAAAUCCUCUUCCCAUUUUUGUUAACUCAUCCUGUCAGAUACCUGUGCCAUCUUUUCAUAAGAGUGAGCUGUAGGCUCUUGUAAGAGCUGUAAGAAAAAGGGCUUUUUCUUUUUCACCCUGCACACUAAUUAUUGUUUUAAUUAAAUGACUGAACAGUAUAAUAAUGUUGUGUGCUCAGAGACUACAUGGCACGCAUGGUAGAGCUGGAUAAGAUAUGAUACACACUGACAUAAUCCUAGGUGUUAACAAUAAUAAUGUACAACUUCAGCGUAUGUUGCUAUUUCAGGAUGUUUUGGCACAAUGGGUUGAUUUUAUUCACCCUGGGGCUGAGCAAUGAACAAAUUACCACAAGGCCAGCAAGGGUGGGGAUUCACAUUGCCUCAUUGUGGGGCUGUGAGCAUGCUUUGAGGUGCACAAUAGAGAUGCCUUCUCCAUUGACUGAGGGGCUCAAUGAGCCAAGCUCGGCAGCAGCCCCGGUAACAGCAGCAGCAGCAGCAGUGGUGCAGCACAGUAAUGGGCCCAACUGUUAACUGAUUUAACACUCUGCCAGCUGCAGUCCCUGAGCUCAGAGAGGAGCAGCGGGCCUUUGAAUAUUACCUUUCAGCCAAUUAGACAUAUGUCACUUUCAGAGAAUGUUUCUUGCCUGCUCCUGUAGAGGGGAGGCUGUGCUGGGGAGGAGAGAGGAAGGGCAUUACCUGCUUUUAUCCCAAAUUUGAGGUUCCUCCUUUGAGUAGGAAUUGGUUGUUUUUUCUGGUACACGGUGUAUGCUAGUGCCUGCAGAGGGCUGUGAGAGAAAAGAAUGAUUCUCGGAAUUCCAGGAGUUUUUCGGAGUCUUGUAGGCUGCCUAUGGAAGGGGUAGGAGCUUUUACAUAAAGGUGGGUUUGAAUCGUUGGGUUGAACUGAGACCUCUUUGCACCUGAAUGCUGUGGAGCUUAAAAUCGCCAUCUCAAUUGGCUUGAUUUUGUUUUGCAUGUAAAACCUCCUGAUCUCAAAGAGACUUUGGUUUCAGCCAAAGCAGAUGUCAGAGAGCUGACAGCAGUUCGGAACGUUCAAUUUUGCCCCAACAAUCAAUUUUACAAAAAAAAAAAAAAAUACAAGUCAGAUUGUAACCAGUGAGUGAGUGGCAGCUCUGGGAGAGUGCUGCAGGAUGCUUCAUUUGUCCAAAAGUUGUCACCAACUGCACCGCUACAGCGGCACACAGGGCUCUGGGGUACCACCACAGCUGUUCCAAUGCCAUCCUUUAGGAGGGCAAGUAGGCACCCACAGAAAAUGAAUAUUAGG